rnacentral:rRNA from 1 species
UACAGAGGGUGCAAGCGUUAAUCGGAAUUACUGGGCGUAAAGGGUGCGUAGGCGGCCUUGUAAGUCGGAUGUGAAAGCCCUGAGCUUAACUUGGGAACUGCAUUCGAUACUGCAUGGCUAGAGUACAGAAGAGGAAAGUGGAAUUCCCAGUGUAGCGGUGAAAUGCGUAGAUAUUGGGAAGAACAUCAGUGGCGAAGGCGACUUUCUGGACUGAUACUGACGCUGAGGUACGAAAGCGUGGGGAGCAAACAGG